UGCAAGUCGAACGGUAACGCGGACUUCGGUCUGGCGACGAGUGGCGAACGGGUGAGUAAUGCAUCGGAACGUACCCAUUUGUGGGGGAUAGCCCGGCGAAAGCCGGAUUAAUACCGCAUUAAUCUCUGAGGAGGAAAGUGGGGGACCUUUCGGGGCCUUACGCUGAUGGAGCGGCUGAUGUCGGAUUUAGCUAGUUGGUAGGGGUAAAGGCCUACCAAGGCGACGAUCCGUAGCUGGUCUGAGAGGACGACCAGCCACACUGGAACUGAGACACGGUCCAGACUCC
rnacentral:rRNA from 1 species